rnacentral:lncRNA from 10 species
UUUUCCAGGGUUUCAGUAAACAAGCAUGCAGAAAGAAUCAGGAAUAAGGAGUGAAAGAGUUUUGAGUUGUCUGAGUUGUCUCCAGCUCCAGCUACCCUUGAGGCCUAGCUGCAUCCCUGCCAUUUCAGCUGUUACAUAAGCCAAGAACUUCUGGUUUGCACCUAAGCUAGAUCAAGACUUUCUUGUUCUUCCUGCCUGGAAUAUUGACAAAGGGCUGGAGAUGGAUCUACAAGGACAAGAAUGAGGACAAAUGCCAACAUACCAAGAAUAUCAGAGUGGAAAGACAGAAAUAACCUGGCUUCUGAAGGCCUCCUUUCCACAUUUGACAGUACUGGCACUCAAACAUACCACAGAAUGGAAAUAAAAAAGAACCCAGGCAGAAGAAUCUAUGGAAGAGUAUUUGCUUGGUGAGUCAGAAGACCAGCACUUUGGUUCCAGUUCUGGCAUUGAAUUCACUUGGUAAUUUA